AUUGAACGCUGGCGGCAGGCCUAACACAUGCAAGUCGAGCGGACGAAGGGAGCUUGCUCCUGGAUUCAGCGGCGGACGGGUGAGUAAUGCCUAGGAAUCUGCCUUGUAGUGGGGGAUAACGUCCGGAAACGGGCGCUAAUAUCGCAUACGUCGUGAGGGAGAAAGUGGGGGAUCUUCGGACCUCACGCCAUCAGAUGAGCCUAGGUCGGAUUAGCUAGCUGGUGGGGUAAAGGCCUACCAAGGCGACGUUCCGUAACUGGUCUGAGAGGAUGAUCAGUCACACUGGAACUGAGACACGGUCCAGACUCCUACGGGAAGCAGCAGUGGGGAAUAUUGGACAAUGGGCGAAAGCCUGAUCCAGCCAUGCCGCGUGUGUGAAGAAGGUCUUCGGAUUGUAAAGCGCUUUAAGUUGGAGGAAAGUACAGUAAUUUAAUACCGUACGAUUUUGACGUUACCAACAGAAUAAGCACCGGCUAACUUCGUG
rnacentral:rRNA from 1 species